rfam:Bacteroides pectinophilus CAG:437 genomic scaffold, scf42
GGGCUCAUAGCUCAGCUGGUAGAGCACUAGACUUUUAAUCUAGGUGUCCCGGGUUCAAACCCCGGUGGGCUCA